GAUCAAACAUGGUUUAUAAUAAAUUUGAGGUUGACAACAUUUUACUCCCAUCGCUUUGUUCGGUUUCAUAUUAGAUUUACUAGAAGAAUAUCGAAAACAAGUAAAGCAUUGCAACCAUAGAUAACUGCACUAGGUUUUGCUCUAUCCCUUCAUAUUAAAAAAUGCUUCAUUGAGAUUGCAGAACCCUUAAUAUGUACAAGAAUCUCUUUAGGUAUACAGCUAACAUGUCCCGAAUACAUAUAUGGCCUUCCCUCAAUUUAUCACCAAUUGUUAUUGGAGUUAUGCUAUAUGUACAAAGUUGGUUGACAAAGCAAUAUCUACACCAAUUAUUUAAAAAACAAAAUUUUAAAUCAUUGGAAAUAAAUGGCCUAAAUUUUGCUAACACUUAUUUUGUCAACCAAAUUUGUAAAUACACUUUGUACAAAUAGCAUAAUACUUGUUAUUGAUGUGUUACAUCAACUAGUAGAUGAACUUGGUCAUUAAGAGCCUACUACUAACUAUGUAGAUUAAUUAGUUUUAUAUGGUUGUCUUAAGUAUGUAAUAGCGCUAUAGCAUAAAAACUCCUACGUAUUUGGUUUAGUUAAAAAUUAGAUUUUUAGUAGAUUUUGAUAAAAAUUGAUGAAAUGUGUGAUUGAAAAUUUAAUAAAAGUUUUGGAUCCCAUAAAACGUGUGAUUGAAAAUUACUUUGAGAUAAAAUAAGUUUCAAAAAAGGGGACCAAAUGGGGCAUAUAUUUUUGCUUUAUAGAUGAUGAGAUAAGUAGUUAUAUAAUAGUUUAUAUACAAAUGAUGUGUUAAAAAGAAAGAGAUUUUUUUUAUUUUUUUUUAAUUUUGGUAGAAGAAAUUUUAAUUCAAUUAUAUUUCACCACAUCAUGUGUAUGUAAAUCAUUAUGUAAACCUAUUAUGUACAGGUAAAAGAAAUAUAAGUGCAUAUACACACAAGUUUUCUUGCAUUUGUUUAUUAAUGCAACAGCUAAUCGGACAAAUGAUCUAUCCAAAGGGCUGCCGUCUCCUUGCAAAUUAAAUUAAUUGUUCUUGCUAGUACCAUGAAUAAUAUUCUUGUACUUAUAUUCUAACUAAAAGGGCAAUCGUGAAAAAAAUUGACUUAUACCAUCAUGUUAGGGUAAGCUUAAAAGGUGCUUAAACUUAGCGAUAUCAUGUCUAUUUUGCCGUAAGCAUGUCUUCACUGAAGAAAUAAGAUAGCUAUAAGUAGCUUCUAAGUAAACAUGCCAGGUAAAUAAGCAGCUUACAAGUAAACCCUAAGUGGUUUGGUUUAUACCCACGUAUCUUUUCUGUUGUGUAGCUUUUUGAAGCUGUGCAUCACAUACUUUAAUAAUACGAAAUCUAAAUACACAAAUGAAAUUGAGGUCAAUUGUCCACUUGAAUUUUUACCCGGAAAGUACGGUUUCUAAAACACCGCAUAAUUGUUUUGCAGCAAUUGGAAAUUCCAGCUAUUAAAAAGAUCAGAUAUAUAUGUAUGUGUAAUGAUUAAAAAAUAAGAAAAUAAUGACUUUAUUAUACCUGAUAGAGCAAGGGAAGGAGAACAUGUACGCGAGGCUGCUUAGAUAAUAUACAAGGCUUGGAUAAUUAAGAUAAAAGAAGUGCUUUCAGGUUAGCUCGCUUAGCAAAUGUUUAAUUAGUCUUUUGUGGUGUCGGCUAUAGUUUAAGUACUAGUCUUUUUCUCAUUUCCUAGGAAAAAAAUGCAGCAGCAGAUACUCACAUUUCCAAUAAGAUAGAUAAACACGUUAGAUAAGCACGUUGCUUAAUCCAUAAAAAAAGAAUUAUUACACAUGGAUCACGAGUUAAAGAGCAUCAGAGUUGUGGAUUGCAUAAACCAUGUACAAAUUUUUGAUGCUUUUUGUGACGAUUACUUGACAGACUAGGAAAAUGUAAGCAAAAAUAAUGCUUCUAAAAACAGAUCUUAGUUUCAUCAGUAAUAUAAAUUAAAUACGACAACUGAAGCCUUGCAACAACAGCAACCCACACUAGUUUCGCUCUAUUCAUAAGAACAAUAACCUCUUUACAUCUAGUGAAAACUUGUCCCAAAUACAUAUAUCGCCAUUCUCUCAACUAUUUAUUAAUCAUUUUUGAUAUGUUACACUAACUAGUAGAUGAACUUGGUCAUUAAGUCCCUAGCUACUAAAUACAUUUAGUUUUACAUGGUUGACUUAACUAGGAAAUGGGGCUAUAACAUAAAAAACUUGUAUUAUAUUUUGCUUUAUAAAGAUGAAGUGCUUAUAGACACAAGUUUUCUUGCAUUACUUCAUUAAUGCAAAAGCUAAUCGAGCCAAUGAUCCAUCCAAAGGGCAACUCUCUUUAUCAGGGUUACAAGAUACAAGUCCAUUACUGAUGGUUGACAGUCACUACAACAGAAGUAGCUUUUUACGACAUUCAUCUACGGCAUACAUAUAAAGCACGCCUUAAAAACGAACUAUUUAUGGCAUGCAUUAAAUGUGUGCCGCAAUAAUUAAAUUGCUCAAAUUAUUUACAUCAUAUAUUUUUGGCAUGUUGUAAAAGUUGAAUAUCAACGAGAUACGUAUUGGGCAUGCUGUAAAAGCUAAAUAUUUACGGCAUACAUAUUGGCAAGCCGUAAAAAAUGUCACUUUUUGAUCUUAAAAUUUCUUUUAUUUUUUUCUUCUUCUCCCACAUUUUCUUUUCCUUACCUUUUCUUUCUUGUUCCUUUUUUCUUCUUUACAUUUUCUUUCUUUUGUCCAUGCUUCUCUCUUCUUUCAGCGAAACCCUUGCCUUCUCCUUUCAACCGCUUUAUUAGCAAUCGUCCAAUCAAUCAACCAUCUGUCAUAUUUGACCCAAACACUUUUCCGAAUCCCCCUUUCUAAAUCUCUUAAAAUUAUAGCCCCAAUUUGACCUCCAUUUUGUAUAAAUAAAAAUGGGUGGAAUAGUAUUUUGUUGAAAAAUGAGUAGUUGAAGAAGAAGGAAAAGUUUUUGAUUUAUGUGUAAUACUAUUUUGUGGAAGAUUGGGUGGUUGAAAAGUGGAGAGGAAAAAAUGGAAUGUAAUAGAAUGGAAACUAAUGGGGGCCAAACGUGGGCUAUCUCAAAUCACCUAUAGUUGUUGAUCGUCGUUGUCGCUGUCGCUUUACCCCCUCUCCAAAUCUAGGUAAUUUGACAAUGUCAUAAAUACUUCCCUGUUCAGUAAUCUUUGUUUAUCUCCAACGUUUGGGAGGUUUCUCCAUUUCAUGAUCAAAUUAAGGUUGUUGGUGUGUGGAAUUUCAAAUAUAUGCUACUGUUUAUGGAUGAAUUCUUUUGCUUAGCAGGCACAUGUCCUGUUUAUCAUAAUAAAUUGAUUACUUGUAAAUGAGGUGGAAUGGUGUAUGGAAACACUGAUUGCUUUCUGAAAUUAUUGGUACGAUUGCUAGUUUUUAUUUGAUUCUUUUUCUCUAUUCAUUUUCUUUUCGCAUGUCUAUGAGGAAUUUUUCUUUUUUCAAUAUUUGGAUUUUGAACACCAAUUUGGUUUUGCUUAUUAGCUCGUGUAUGUAGGGAGGAUAUGGACAGGUCAUAAUAUAUUGAUUUGGUUGUGCUCGUGUGAGGGAGGCAUUUGAUGAGAUUAACAACCUGUUUCUAAGCCAGAGGGAACCAUUGAUUUGGUAGUAUUGACACAAAAGUUUGGAAGGAGAGUUAGCGACAUGAAGGUGAAAUCCUCCUACACAUUAGUUAGAAUUGUUGAAUCUUUUUAGAAAAAAAAAAAAAGAAAGAGAAUAAUGCCUUAACAUUGUGGAACAUGAUAUUUUGCAUGAGAUAUGAUUAGGAAGAAUAUAACAUAAAAAUUUUGUGUUAUCAAAUAACAAACAGUUGGCUCGUCUCAAUCGGAACGUUAUUGUUAAUUUUUUAUCGAUUUAUUUUUGUAGAUGAAUUAUUUUUGAGACCUCUGGCCUUCUGUUGUACGUAUACAAGUCUUGCUUGCAAGUUGCUACUCACUUCAGGAGUUGGAACUUAACUGUUAAGUAACUGAAUGUGUGUGCAUGGAUAUAGGCUUAGCCUAGGUCCUAAAAAAACAAAUGGGUCAAGCAAUAUUUUGGUGAUCAAAAUGUAUGUACGUCGCAUUUCUGUUUAAGUUUAUUACGUUAAUUGUUAUGUUUAUUUCUGCAUGAAGCACCGACUCUUUUCUUUGAAGAUUGACAUUGUUGAAGUCAAACCAUUUGCACAAGUUUUAUUCUAUUAAGCUUUUAGAUGGUAUACCCUCUCGUUCGGUAUUUUUCUCAAUUUAUUUAUCUUUCUAAUUGAUGAGUAAAACAAGGAUUGUGUGUUCUUUUUUGCUUGAAACUUCUCUUAACAUUUCUAAUAUCUUGAAUUGUGGAGCCUGUAGAUUGUGUAUCAAUAAAAGUAGUUUGGGUAAUUAGCUUUAUUGUCAAUUCAUUUAUGUUAAGGAAUUCUUUUGAUUGAAACAAAGUAGAAGACUACUUCAAGAGAGUUGUGGAGCUGAAGGAUGUAGAGGCCUUGAACAAAUACGCAAACUUCCGUAGGUGAAGAAGGAUCUUUGGGCUGCUAAGGAAACCUACUUGGACACCAUUGAAUAAUGAAGUUUUCAUGUGCUGAAACACUUAGUGCAAUGGCAAAUUUUUUGAGCAGGCUAAUGAUGUUAGAAUUAUUUAGAUACACUCUACAUUUUGACAUAUUUUAUUAAAUUGUACUCAAUAUUUUUGCUUAUUGAAACUAUGGAAAAUAUGAUUAUAUAUGUAUCAAAGUAUAUAAUUUUGUUAUUUAAUUAUUAUAUGUUUGAUGAUAAUCACAUCAAUAAACAAUUUAAAAAAAUAAACUGACUGUUUU
rnacentral:lncRNA from 1 species